rnacentral:rRNA from 1 species
UUAUUUGAGAGUUUGAUCCUGGCUCAGGAUGAACGCUGGCGGCGUGCUUAACACAUGCAAGUCGAGCGAAGCAUUUGUGAUUGAUUUCUUCGGAUUGAUUUCACUUAUGACUGAGCGGCGGACGGGUGAGUAACGCGUGGGUAACCUGCCUCAUACAGGGGGAUAACAGUUAGAAAUGACUGCUAAUACCGCAUAAGCGCACAGCAUCGCAUGAUGCCGUGUGAAAAACUCCGGUGGUAUGAGAUGGACCCGCGUCUGAUUAGCUAGUUGGUGGGGUAACGGCCCACCAAGGCGACGAUCAGUAGCCGACCUGAGAGGGUG